rnacentral:rRNA from 1 species
AACGAACGCUGGCGGCAUGCCUAACACAUGCAAGUCGAACGAUCCCUUCGGGGAUAGUGGCGCACGGGUGCGUAACGCGUGGGAACCUGCCCUUAGGUUCGGAAUAACUCAGAGAAAUUUGAGCUAAUACCGGAUAAUGUCUUCGGACCAAAGAUUUAUCGCCUUUGGAUGGGCCCGCGUUGGCUUAGCUAGUUGGUGGGGUAAAGGCCUACCAAGGCGACGAUCCAUAGCUGGUCUGAGAGGAUGAUCAGCCACACUGGGACUGAGACACGGCCCAGACUCCUACGGGAGGCAGCAGUGGGGAAUAUUGGACAAUGGGCGAAAGCCUGAUCCAGCAAUGCCGCGUGAGUGAUGAAGGCCUUAGGGUUGUAAAGCUCUUUUACCCGGGAUGAUAAUGACAGUACCGGGAGAAUAAGCCCCGGCUAACUCCGUG